rnacentral:rRNA from 1 species
AUGGUGCUACCCGCCACCCCCUCUCGCGACGCCGGAGCUCACUCGCGCCCUUCGCAGGACGGCCAGGGGGAAGCGGGGCCGCCGCGCCCGCGCAGACCGCCCGCGUUCUACAGCUCCGUGUUCGCGCAGAUCGAAGAGGUCGGGUGGGGGCAACUAGUGAGCGCCACAGGCGAUGACGGCGUGUCGUGCCUCACCUUCCGCGUCAUGGAUGAGCAGCGACGGCACCAUUUACUGGAGAUCACACUGCCCAUGAACUACCCGGCAUGCCCUCCUUCAAUUGCUGCGGAUGUUCCUUAUCUCCCUAAAUUACAGUGGUCAAAAAGCUCAAGACUGAAGGAUGUUCUCUGCCAGUUCCAAGAGCACCUGAAGGUAUUGCAAGAUUACUGGUCUACAAUGGAUGGCAUUGACAAGGCCCUUUGGGUUGUCGAUCCUACAAAGCCGACAUAUGCUAUGUCUCAUCAUCGCAUAGCUUUGGGUGAUGAUUGCUAUAUUUUACUACAUGUUGAUACGCACAAGCCCAACUCCUUACCAGAGUGCCGCUUCCUAGGCACAGAUGGGAAAUUGGAAAGGCUGAUAAAGAAUUGGAGAAAAAAUCGUAAGAGAUGGAGCGCUGACAGAAAGUUCCAUGAAAACCUGGCAACCGUCUUAGAUUUUGCUCUGCCGCAACCCCCUUCUGUGAGUAUCAAAGAUGACCAGCAAGCUGAUUGUGGGAUAUGUUACGCCACGCAUCUGCCCGUCGAUGACGAACUCGGGACUCAGAGCGGGUGCGCGGCGGACUACAAGUGCGAAAACCCUAGCUGCAGCAGAGCCUUCCACUCCGUGUGCCUGAGAGACUGGCUGCGCACCAUUACUACGACAAGGUCGUUUGAUGUCCUGUUCGGGAACUGCCCUUAUUGCAGUGAGCCUGUCGCCGUGAAGAGCACCGACAGCUGA